GGUUGCUGUGCGUCGCUGAGGGGGAAUCAGUAAAGUACAAGGGACUUGUGGCCCCGAUGGUGUCUUGGAGCGGGGUGUCGCUGAGUAAUGCCUGGGCCUUAGGGAGCUGAUCCCACAACAGCCACCAAUUCCCCAUCUGACCCUGGACAAGUCACUUAUCCUUUCUGUGCCUCAGUACCCCAUCUGUACCAUGGGAUAAUAACACAGCUCCCCUGAGGGUGGCGAUGCCAGCUAGAGGGAGUUACUGAAGCGUGUUUAAUUAUUACCACUUAUGACUAGUCAGAGUUUAAGAGAUACUCUCAAAUGCAUGCACUUGAGCACAAAAGCCUGGGAGCACCCCCCCCCCUUAUUAUUUAGUACCUGUACUUUUAGGGGUUGGGGUCCCACUGUACUGAGCACUGGUCUCACAAUGGAAAGAGAAAGGAUUUACAGUUUUAAGGAUACGCUGAGCCAUGGAUGCACAGAUGAUAACAAGGAAAUGGAGAUGAUCAAGAUAUGUCUCAAGCAGAGGUCAGAACCAUUUUUGUAUGCAUUAUAGCAUAGCGUGCAUCCAAAUGGUGACCUGCAUUUCCAGUGUUUCAAACUAUCUCGUCAGGCCAGACUUCAUGCUGGAAAUUAUCAGUAAAAUUGGCAACUCUUGCUAAGAGAGAUCAGCACUAUUCGUUUGUAUGGAGCUACUGGAACAUUAUUAGGGUUUUGGAUUGUGUGACCUGGUGGAAGGCUGAGUCACAGAAGACCCACAGAGGCUUACUGACAGCCUGCAGGAGGUGUUGUAGCCAAAGAGAAUGACAGCACUGCAACUGGAUGGCAAGGGUGUAUUCAAGAGGAGCCACAUGGAAUGGAGGAGGUUAGAUCUGGGAAAGGAACACUUUGGCUGUCUGAGGAAAAGUUAGUCACAGCAAUCCUUUCUCCCUUGGAAGAUUACAAAAUUAUUACCAUCUCUGUCCAUGGUGUCUGGCUUGUCCCAGCACUGAGCCAUGCUGCACAAGCUGAGUGGAAGAAGGUGGGAGAAGGAUACAAUCUGGUGGCUGGAUAAACAGUGCCACGUCCCUUUGCAGUGGAGAGGACCUUCAGCUCCUGAGAGGGAAACCUUUCCAUUGGGAGGACAGUAGCAACACCCCAGAGACAGCUGAGGCAGACAGAGAAGAAUCCUGGAGGAUCUGCUCAUUGCAUGGGGGAAUCUGCUCAUUGCACAGGAGGAACCAGGAUCAGUUUGAAUUCCUCAGGGAAAGGGAGGAUUCAGAAAGAGACACUGAUGAAAUGGUUCCUGAAGCAAGAGGCAUGUCUUAGGGAAUGGGAGCCUUCCCUAAUGGAGAGGCUCAAAGAACUGGUGGCCAAACAAGUUGGGAGUCUGCCUGCUGCCAUGACAACUACACCUGUCAAUGAACUGCCAUCACUACCACAUCGGCUCCUCCUCCAUCUGCUGCCAAGGGCACUGCCGAGGUGAAGGAGCCAACACUCCCAACUGACUGGGAGGAGAACAUGGAGCCUGCAAUGCUCCCCAGACUAGACGUUCUGCUGAUGCCCAGUACCCUUUGCUGGAGGGGCCUCCCUGAGCUCCCAGGCAGGGAACAGUGAGCCUAUGGAAUCUCUGAAUCCAACUAAGUGCCCACCCUCCAAGCCCCAUCUAGGUGACAUCUUUCUUUGUCCUCAAGAACAAUUUUACCAUGUUAUUCCUCCUUAUCAGGAGGUGGGCAAGGAGAUGGGUGCAGAGACAUUAACAUUUGCCCUAGUUGAUGGAUUCAGACCCAUUAUGUUUUAAAUAUUGUUGCUUUACAUUUCUUUAAAAAAUAUUUUACUUUUGAGUUCUAUGUAGUACUUUUAAUAAAUAUUAUAGUUUCCUUGACUUGUGUGAUGAAUAUAAAUGCGAUGAAUAUAAGAUGUUUUUCAGGUUCGGGAUUGGGCCCCACAAUUCAGAGCACAUGAAUUGGAAUGAUGCAACUGUCUAGUGCCAUCUUACUUCAAACACUUUUUAGUCCUACACCCAUAACCUCCUUCCCUUCCCUCCCCCCUGCCUCCCUGAGGUUCAGAAAUAUCAACAUUCCCCACAAUAUGUGGGAUGGAUGGGGAAAGUGCAGUUAGUGAUGUAUGCAAACAGAAAACACUGCUAGUUCUAAAUGCAGCAGAACUCACAAGAUAGAAAAUGGGCAGAUAAACAUCUUUAUAGCUUAAUUCUCAUGCAGAAAAUCAAAACACAAUUCAAGUAGCAACACAGGCAUCUGCCAUUACCCUGGGAUUAAACAGCCCAUCCUUCCCCCAAAAAACCUUGAUCAUUUUCAGUAGUAGUAGGUAUUAGUUCUUUGUAAUAGCCACUAAGUGCAGCUAGCACUGCUGACAAUAAACAAUUUUUAAAAAUGGCUGCAUCCCCCUCAGCCAAUCAAAUGUUGAUAAGGUGACUAAAAGAGAUUGAAUGCUCCUGAUAACAUUGGUUUGUAUACAAGUGUGAACAGUGAAGAUUAAAACAUUCCACAAUGACCAAAUCACAACUCGGCCACCACCACCUACCACAAAAACCCAACCCUAAAAUGAUAACCCAGAGGAAGCGCCCUGUUAUAAUUGUCUGUAAUGUGUCACUUAUCACAGGAACAAAUGGGUAUAAUGACCCUUGGCUACACAGGAACAAAACACUGACAAAGAUAUGUAGAUGCACAAGUUGGUACCAGUGUUCCCUCCUGUGCUUUUCCAACAGCUGCACAGUGUGAAGGUGACUCAGCAUGGGCAAAUAUCAUCUGCCUCCUUACUGUGCCAGGAUGUGCAUGUAUGUGUGAGGCUUUGGGGUUUAAUCCGGACUGGUAAGGAGUUAAUAAGGGAUUUCUACCUGCCCUGAGUGUGUUAAAUGCUAUUCUGCUGUUGCGAACAGCCUUUGUUAUACCAAUAUAAUAAAAACCAGC